CUGACUGGACGACAGCACAUCAAUAACUGGCCAAGCGGGCGGCAAAAAGGCAAAUCGUGGUCCGUACCGGCAAGGCGAAGGAAACUGUAGACAGUUUAUGAGUGCAUAUCAACAGCAGAUAGCGCCCGGCUUCCUGGCAUCCCUAGAAAGGAAUCACCCCUAGCAGUCCAGCAAGCAGCAAGGCGGAACACCCGGCAGCCAAAGGAACUGAAAAUCAAGCCGGCAUCCCUGAUCCGGUCACUAACGGCCAUUCCGUAACAUCCACGGUUUAUGUCCUGUCGGAAACUGCACAGAUAAGAACCGGCGGAAACGAUGGCCAACCUUUGUGCAACCCGGUACGCCGGAACACCAAGCACGACUACCGGGAAAAAUAGGCCAACCUGCCAGAGUUUGCAAAGAACCAUGACAUGAAGUCACUCCAGUUUUUGGACUAACGGAUGCCCGCAGAUUGCAACUUUUGUUUUUUACUGUGUUAUAGUAGUAGUUUAUAAAGUAUUUUUCACGAAAAUCUAUGUAAUUUGAAGAAAAAACGAGGAAAACUAAAUAAAAACAUAAACAACA